GAUGAACGCUGGCGGCGUGCCUAAUACAUGCGAGUCGAGCGAACAGACGAGGAGCUUGCUCCUCUGACGUUAGCGGCGGACGGGUGAGUAACACGUGGAUAACCUACCUAUAAGACUGGGAUAACUUCGGGAAACCGGAGCUAAUACCGGAUAAUAUAUUGAACCGCAUGGUUCAAUAGUGAAAAACGGUUUUGCUGUCACUUAUAGAUGGAUCCGCGCCGCAUUAGCUAGUUGGUAAGGUAACGGCUUACCAAGGCGACGAUGCGUAGCCGACCUGAGAGGGUGAUCGGCCACACUGGAACUGAGACACGGUCCAGACUCCUACGGGAGGCAGCAGUAGGGAAUCUUCCGCAAUGGGCGAAAGCCUGACGGAGCAACGCCGCGUGAGUGAUGAAGGUCUUCGGAUCGUAAAACUCUGUUAUUAGGGAAGAACAAAUGUGUAAGUAACUAUGCACGUCUUGACGGUACCUAAUCAGAAAGCCACGGCUAACUACGUG
rnacentral:rRNA from 1 species